CACCUCCAAGAUGUGCAAACUCCCAAGCUUGGAGAAAAGAUGAACCCUGCCCAUCUCCUCUGUCUGUCCCAGGGACCUGGAGACACAGGCAUCCCUUCCUGGAAGCCCCACAGGAGGAGGAAGAGGAGGAGGAUAAAUAUGAGCUGCCCCCCUGUGAGGCUCUGCUCCGCCACCUUGCCCCUGCCCAAC